rnacentral:rRNA from 1 species
UACGUAGGGUGCAAGCGUUAAUCGGAAUUACUGGGCGUAAAGCGUGCGCAGGCGGUUUUGUAAGUCUGUCGUGAAAUCCCCGGGCUCAACCUGGGAAUUGCGAUGGAGACUGCAAGGCUAGAAUCUGGCAGAGGGGGGGUAGAAUUCCACGUGUAGCAGUGAAAUGCGUAGAGAUGUGGAGGAAUACCGAUGGCGAAGGCAGCCCCCCUGGGAUAACACUGACGCUCAUGCACGAAAAGCGUGGGGAGCAAACAGG